GCGCAUAUGGUGGAUGCCUAGACUCCACAUGGCGAUGAAGGACGCGGCCUGGCGGCGAUACGCUUCGGGGAGGUGCCUGGUAACCUUUGAUCCGAAGAUUUCCGAAUGGGGAAACCCCUUUGCAUAAAACGCAUUGAUCUGCCUGUAUGUUUUGACUUUUGAUUUUUGACAAAAAACCGACUGUCUGACACCUGACGUCAGAGCAGUCGGCCGCUUCGAACUCGCCCUCGAUCCUUAACUUACAUAGAGGAUGAGGGAGAAUGCGAGUAGUAAAAGCAAUGCUGCGAGCAUAUACCAAUAUUUGUUGUUUUUAUUGAGCUCGCGAUUUGCAGCCCCCAGCGCUUGCGCGGGCACUUCCUGCUCUUCCGUUCUGAGUAAGGAAUGGGGAUGCCUGUUAUUGUGCAUGGCAUUGCUCCUAAUCUAAGGUAAGAACUUUAAACUCACCCCGUGAGCUUACGUCACGAAUAUUUUAUACUAUAAGUAUAUUUUUGUCAAGAGUCAAAACAUACAGGCAGAGGCAUACCCAGGGAAGUGAAACAUCUCAGUACCUGGAGGAAAAGAAAACAACCGUGCUUCGCACGGACAUUUCGAAAUAUCGAUAUAUCGAAAUUUCCGCGCGGAGCGCGGCCAUUCCCUUAGUAGCGGCGAGCGAAACGGGAGGAGCCUAAACCGUGCGCAGCACGGACAUAUCGAUAUUUCGAAAUUUCGAUAUUUCCGCGCUGCGCGCGGUGUUGUACGGCAACGGCGUAGUUUAACUAGAGAAGUUACAAAGUGGUUUGUUAGCGGAAUCUGCUGGAAAGCAGAGCCCCAGCGGGUAAUAGCCCCGUACGCGAAAGCACGCCACCUUCUUUGCUGUUGUUCGUGAGUACCUCGGGACAUGAAUAGCCCGAGGGAAUCUGGCAGGACUAACUGCCAAGGCUACAUACGUGUGGAGAUCGAUAGUGAACAAGUACCGUGAGGGAAAGGUGAAAAGCAGCCCGGUGAGGGCGGUGAAAUAGACCUGAAACCAUAUGCGUACAAGGAGUCGGAGCUGCCGCACCUCAUUGCAUUCGGUGCGGACAUUUCGAUAUUUCGAAAUAUCGAUAUAUCGAAAUGUCCACCGCGCCGAGUGUAGCGAGGUGCGGCGGUCACGGCGUGCCUAUUGAAGAAUGAGCCAACGAGUUGUCGUUUGUUGCCCGUCUAACCGCUUGUCGCGGGAAGGCAUAGGGAAACCGAGUGUUAAAAGCGCGAUCGCCUGCUCAUAUUUUUGGAUUUUUAUUAGUGGAAGUUAACUGAAACCGCCACGUUCAUGUUAAACGUAGCGGUUUAUCCCUGAGUCCAAGGAAGAGCGUCUUCCUCACCUUGUGAGGAAGAACCAGAUUUUAUCUGGAAUGAGCUUUUGAAGGAAAGAGCCUGGAACAAGGAAAUAAGCAAGUGCAAUACAGAUCAAAAGCGGCCAAUAUAUCCACCUUGGGACGAAAUACCCGAGAAGAUAGAAAACACCAGCAACGAUACCAAUAAUGAUAUGACCUUUAAGGUUCAUUUUCGUCUCCAAUCUCGAAUGAGGUGCCAGGGGGAUGGGGGGUUCUCUAUACAACAAAUUAGUAUAAAUGUAUUAAUUUGUCAAGAGUCCAAAAAUAUGAGCAGGUACAGCAGCAAACGCCAGACCCGAAGCCGGGUGAGCUUGCCAUGGGCAGGGUGAAGGCGAUGGAAACAUCGCUGGAGGCCCGAACCGGUCAGCCGUGCAAAACUGUCGGAUGACCUGUGGCAAGGAGUGAAAAGCUAAUCGAACUCGGUAAUAGCUGGUUCUCUCCGAAAUAGCUUUAGGGCUAGCGUUCUGUGUUCCUUCCGGGGGUAGAGCACUGGAUGGAAAGAAUAGGGAGCAAUCUCGUCUUUCCAAUCAAACUCCGAAUACCGGAAGCACGCCGCACCUCAUUGCAUUCGGUGCGGACAUAUCGAUAUUUCGAAAUUUCGAUAUGUCCGCCGCGCCGAGUGUAGCGAGGUGCGGCGGAUAGCAGGGCAGUUAGACUAUGGGGGCUAAGCUCCAUUGGUCAAAAAGGGAAGAGCCUUUGAUCUCCAGUUAAGGUCCCUAAUACGGCGCUCAGUGCAUCUUAAGGAAGUAGAGACCCACAGACAGUGAGGAGGUUGGCUUAGAAGCAGCCAUCCUUUAAAGAAAGCGUAACAGCUCACUCAUCGAGGGUUUCUGCGCCGCAGAUUCACGGGGCUUAAGCGCCGAACCGAAACUGAGGAUGCCGUGCGCAGCACGGACAUAUCGAUAUUUCGAAAUUUCGAUAUUUCCGCGCUGCGCGCGGUGUGGUAGGAGAGCAUCCUGCACCCGCAAUGAAGCACGGGCGUGAGCUCCGUGUGGAGCGUGCAGGAGUGAGAAUGUUGGCACAAGUAACCGCAAUGCGGGUGAAAGCCCCGCACGCCGAAAGCCCAAGGUUUCCUUGGCGAUGACAAUCAGCCAAGGGUUAGUCGGGCCUUAGCCGAUGGCGAAAGCCGGAGGUGAUGGACACACGGUUAAUAUUCCGUGACCCGGAUCCAUUUCGAUGUGGUGACGGAGGAGAUAAGCGGGGGCGCAUUAUUGGAUUUGCGUCGCCCGUGCGAAGACGCGCCGCCUAGGUAAAUCCGGACGGCACGCCGCCGCACCUCAUUGCAUUCGGUGCGGACAUUUCGAUAUGUCGAUAUUUCGAAAUGUCCGCCGCACCGAGUGUAGCGAGGUGCGGCGGUACCGUCGAGCGCGGUAGAAAUUCCGGGGUUCGCCCCGGGAAAUCCUCGCGAAGAGCCUUCCAAGAAAAACCACUAAGGCUAGGUGGAUUCGGUCCGUACCGCAAACCGACACAGGUGGGCAGGUCGAGAAGACCAAGGCGAACGGGUGAGUGUUCCCCAAGGAACUCGGCAAAAAAGCAGCCGUAACUUCGGGAUAAGGCUUGCCUUGUCGGGGCUGAAAGAAGGAAAAUUUUGUUCUUUAAGGAGACGAUCAAUGGAUAGCAUAGGUGGGAGGCUGAAUUAUUGGAGCGGCGAAAAAUCCAAUAGAAAUACCAGCCGUCAGUGGAAUACCACCCUUGAUCGUUUUCGUCCGGAAAUUCGCUUAAAAACCGAGUUUCCGGUUGAGUUCAGUGGAGCAAAUCGGGCGUUUAGUCGAGUGCUUCCAUGCCGUGUAAAAUAGCGCUUGUCUGAUUUGCUCCGCCAGUCCAAUGGAGCGGUCAGGCCGGAGAGUUCUCCUGCAAUACGUGGGUGACCCAUGAGAGGUUGCUACGUUCCCUUGCAAGGUUCUGUAAAAAUCUCCCGCCCUGCCGAGUGGUUGAAGUCCACGCCGCUCCAACCCGACCAAUGGGGUAGAUCAUGGAUACUUUCUGGGAUAUUGGGAGUGAUAACCUCCGAACCCAAUUUCCGGAGUAGCAAGUAUGCAUGGUCUACUCCUUCAAUCAAUCGGGGGAUGUCUCUGAUAUCCCCUCCUUCUUUCAGCUCCGAUGAGGCCGCAGCGAAAGUACCCCUGCCGACUGUUUACCAAAAACACAGCUCCCUGCGAACUCGCAAGAGAAUGUAUAGGGGGUGAUGCCUGACCAAUGCCGGAAGGUCAAACAGUGGUGGUGACCGCAUCACACGGCGUGUGAUGCGGACAUAUCGAUAUUUCGAAAUUUCGAUAUGUCCGCAUCGCGCUUCGCGCGAUGCGGUUGCUGGCCGCUGUAAGCCCCGGUGAAUGUCGGCCAUAACUAUAAUGGUCCUAAGGUCACGGCUCUCUUGAUUUUUCAAGGGAGUCGUGAGGACUGGGACUAUUAUAGCGGUAAACAGAAAGUGCAAGCUACCUUAUCGUGCGGUAACGCACGAAUUAGUCCGCACCACGACUCACAUGAGAGGCCAUACGUCGUGCUCCGACACCACUUUUUGGUUUCAGUCUUAGCUGAAACCAAAAAGUGGUGUCGGGUGAAGAUAUGGUCCUUCGCAAGAAGGAAAGCGAAGAGCGAAAUUCCUUGUCCUCUAAUUAGGGACGCGCACGAAUGGCAUAACGAGUGGGGGACUGUCUCGGGGAACAGCCCGGUGAAAAUA
rnacentral:rRNA from 1 species